rnacentral:tRNA from 1 species
GCGAAAGCGGUAGUUGGUAAGCUAAGCCGAAUGUUGCAGGUUCGAGUCCUGCCGGGCGCGCCA